rnacentral:misc_RNA from 1 species
UUUCUGUAGGUGAACCUGCGGAAGGAUCAUUCAUAAUAAAGUGUUUUAUGGCACUUUUUCAAAAUCCAUAUCCACCUUGUGUGCAAUGUUAGAUCUCGUCAAUCUUGGCGAGAUUUUUAUACAUCAACUCAUUCUUUAACUAAUUUGUCUGAAAAAUAUUAUGAAUACUUAAUUCAAAAUACAACUUUCAACAACGGAUCUCUUGGCUCUC